rnacentral:rRNA from 1 species
UCACCUAAAGUAAAUAAUAUACAUUAAAAUUAUUUUAUACUUUAGAGCAAUUCAAAUAAGGUACAGCCUAUUUGAUGAGGGAUACAACCCCUACUAACGGGUACAAUACUUAAAUUAUACCUUAAGUAGGCCUAAAAGCAGCCAUCUUUUAAAAAGCGUCAAAGCUUAGCAAUAUAAACACCAAUUUCUAAAUUUAAAUUCACCCCUUUUUUACUACUGAGAACUUCUAUAACAUUAUAGAAAUUUUUAUGCUAAAACUAGUAACAAGAGGUAACCCCCUCUCUAAGAUGUAAACAUAAACCAGGAUGAAUAAAUCACUGGUAAUUAACAAAUUUAAUUAAAAGUAAUAACUCACCUAGAAAACAUUACUUAACUUAUUGUUAACCUAACACAAGAACAUCCCAAGAAAGAUUAAAAGAAAAAGAAGGAACUCGGCAAAUAUUAACCCCGCCUGUUUACCAAAAACAUCACCUCUUGCUUCUAUAAGAGGCCAUGCCUGCCCAGUGACUCAUGUUUAACGGCCGCGGUAUCCUAACCGUGCAAAGGUAGCGUAAUCACUUGUCUUUUAAAUAAAGACUUGUAUGAAAGGCUUCACGAAGGUUGUACUGUCUCCUUUUUCUAAUCAGUAAACCUAAUCUCCCUGUGAAGAAGCGGGGAUAAUUAUAUAAGACGAGAAGACCCUAUGGAGCUUAAAACACAAUAACACUUAAUUAACCCCUUACUACUACGGUACCUACCAAUAUCUUAUGCUGAUUAUAUGUUUUCGGUUGGGGUGACCGCGGAGAACAAUUUAUCCUCCAUGAUGAAAGAGUAUAAACCUCUAAACAACAAGCCACAACUUUAAGUAUCAAAAAUUUGACAUAAAUGAUCCAAUACUUUGAUCAACGAACCAAGUUACCCUAGGGAUAACAGCGCAAUCCACUUUAAGAGUCCUUAUUAACAAGUGGGCUUACGACCUCGAUGUUGGAUCAGGGUAUCCUAGUGGUGCAGCCGCUACUAAAGGUUCGUUUGUUCAACGAUUAAAACCCUACGUGAUCUGAGUUCAGACCGGAGUAAUCCAGGUCAGUUUCUAUCUAUAACGGAGCUUUUUUCAGUACGAAAGGACCUAGACAGCAUGGCCUAUACUCUUACAUGCCAUAAUUAAAUACUUUUGAUUAAACUAAAAAAAAUAUUAAUCCAUAACUAAUUUAUUCAAAACAAGAACAGUUAACAUAGCAUAAUCAGG